UGAAUACGAGAUGCUACGGCGUCGAAGCAGUCUAUGUCAUACUUCCAAGAAAAGCUUGCACUGUCAUAAACAAAUAAUGCCUGUACCAUAACCGACACAGGUGGGUAGGUAGAGUAUACUAAGGGGCGCGAGAUAACUCUCUCUAAGGAACUCGGCAAAAUGACUCCGUAACUUCGGGAGAAGGAGUGCCUUAUUUAUAAGGUUGCAAUAACAAGAUCCAAGCAACUGUUUACCAAAAACACAGGUCUCCGCUAAGUCGUAAGACGAUGUAUGGGGGCUGACGCCUGCCCAGUGCCAGAAGGUUAAAGAAGUUGGUUAGCAUCCGCGAAGCUGAUAACUGAAGCCCUGGUGAACGGCGGCCGUAACAAUAACGGUCCUAAGGUAGCGAAAUUCCUUGUCGGGUAAGUUCCGAACCGCACGAAAGGCGUAAUGAUUUGGAUACUGUCUCGGAGAGGGGCUCGGUGAAAUAGACUUGUCUGUGAAGAUGCGGACUACCUGCACCAGGACAGAAAGACCCUAUGAAGCUUUACUGUAACCUGAAAUUGAAAUUGGACUUUACUUGCGCAGUAUAGGUGGGAGGCGUUGAGAAUAUUCUUGCGGGAUUAUUGGAGCCAUCAGUGAGAUACCACUCUUGUAAUGUUAGAUUUCUAACUUUGUAUCAUUAUCUGGUCAAAGAACAGUUUCAGGCGGGCAGUUUGACUGGGGCGGUCGCCUCCUAAACGGUAACGAAGGCGCACAAAGGUUUCCUCUGAACGGGUAGAAAUCGUAUCUAGAGUGUAAAGGCAUAAGGAAGCUUGACUGUGAGACCUACAAGUCGAGCAGGGACGAAAGUCGGUCUUAGUGAUCUGACGGUGCUGAGUGGAAAGGCCGUCACUCAACGGAUAAAAGUUACUCUAAGGAUAACAGGCUGAUCUCCCCCAAGAGUUCACAUCGACGGGGAGGUUUGGCACCUCGAUGUCGGCUCAUCGCAUCCUGGGGCGGUAGUACGUCCCAAGGGUUGGGCUGUUCGCCCAUGAAAGCGGUACGCGAGCUGGGUUCAGAACGUCGUGAGACAGUUCGGUCCAUAUCCGGUGUAGGCGUUAGAAUAUUGAGAGGAGCCUUCUUUAGUACGAGAGGACCGAGAAGGACGUACCUCUGGUGUACCAGUUAUCGUGCCAACGGUAAACGCUGGGUAGCUAUGUGUGGAGUGGAUAACCGCUGAAAGCAUCUAAGUGGGAAGCCCACCUCAAGAUAAG
rnacentral:rRNA from 1 species